GCUAGAGAAAAAAAACUCACAUAUAAAGUUGCCAAGUUCCAGCUGGAGUUCAUGUCUACAGAAUCGAAUCUUCAGAUUGCCAGAAAUUCUCACUCCUUCGGGUGUCUUUUCUCAUUUUCGCCGUUAAAAAUGGUAUUCGUUCAAUUCCCUUUCGUUAAGAAGACGCAAUGUGCCAUUUAUUUGCAAAAUUCGUGCACAAAAUGAAGAUUGAUCGGUUACUGCGCUUAAAAUCGCCGUUUUACUGCCAAAAUUUUGCAUUUCCCUAUCUUUUUCCUGAUAAAAAAUGUGCAUGACACUUGCCAGAGGGUCGCGCAUGCGCAUUAAAAAAGUGGGGACAUGAUUUGCCUCGAGUUCCGCCUCUGUAUAUCCUUACUCUGUGCCCCUGGUUUUUAUAAAAAUAUUUCGGCUUUUUGCAAUUUGCAGUGAAUCCUUGUUGUUUUGAUAUUUUCGACAUAUUUUUUCGCCUGUUGACAAUUUGUUCAAAGAUGUGGAAGCUGUACACGUUAAUUCUCGUCCGUGGAGCGUGAAAGACAACAAACAACUAUUAAAACCUUGCGAAAUGUGGGCAAAAACGAUACUUCAAGCCAGAACAAACAUCCGUAUUUAUCAGACUAUAAACAGGUAUUUAUAUAUUUUUCAAAAUUUACAUUACUAUUUUAAAUAUUUCAUGAAAAAAUGUUAGGAAUAAAUGGUAGAAUGUAAUCUAUUUUUUAGAAAAUAAGCCACGAGUAUUUAUAAUGUGAAAAUGCUGUGCUGAGUGGUUAUAUUACUACCUUAAAAAAUAAGCAGAAACUCGACGAAGGGCCUUCGCUCGAAACGUCGAGUUUCUGCUUAUUUUUUAAGGUAGUAAUAUAACCACUCAGCACAGCAUUUUCACAUUGGUACUACCAACACUGGUACAGACAGUUUUAGUAUUUAUAAUGUGGUUGUAGACGAAUCUUUUAAUUUUAAAAUAUAAUAAUUUCAUCCCUCAAUCCCAAGGAAUUAAUGGUUGUACAUGUAUAUGAAUUUGCUCGAAUUUGACAAAUAUUUGAGUUGACAUGAAACUAUCAUGUGCUAGUAUAUUAAAGAGGGAAGUAAGGUUUUAUAGAUUUAGGUAAGACCGGGUUUUUUCAUGCAUGAGCUCAGAACUGGUGCUGGAAAAAGCUCAGCUGAUCUGAAAAUGCAUAUGUUUUGCCCAAGUUUGCAUGUAUAUUGUGUGCUCUCUGAUAGUUUGUUGCAUGUAUCUUUAAAAGGCCAUGCAUUAACUUGUUUGCCCCAUCCCUAUAAAUAUUGGGUUAAUUGACUCAACUGCAUGCUGGCAUAUUUCUGGUGUUCCUGAGGUAGGGGCUAAUGUGACAGCUAGCCCUAGGCCAGUAAGCAAGGUCUCACUCACUGUGUGGUUAUUUUUAUAGUGGAAAUUCCUUUCAAAUUGUAUGGACAACCUGACUGGCUCAGUUUUCAGAUCUCACCUGAAGAAGGCAAGCUCUCAGUUACACCGGGAAGAUAUUUUAUGGAUAUAAACACUAACUGGACUGACCUGGUCAAAGUAAAGUCAAUACAACAUUGGUCAUGGAAAUAUUGUCAAAACAAUAGAAUUGUGUCGGCAAGGAAAUUAAUCUGGAAAUAAUAAAUAGUUCUGCCAACCAGGCCAGCCUGGCUUCCAUAUUGAUAGCCCCUAUGGCUAUAAUCUAUUCUUGCUUAUUGCAGAAUGCUCCCACAAUGAGUUCAUGCCACUGUUGUUAGUGAACCUCCAAGAAACAUGUAUUAAUUGUUUCAAAAUUAAUUAAAGACAAAAAUUUGCUUGAUUUUGUAUAUUAUUUAUUUUAAUCCAACUUGCAUGGUUAAAGAAUAAUUAUCCAAUUGGGACGUUCCAGAAAAGAUCCACACUCCCCCCACGGAGGAAAUUUCUGCCGUCCGGAGGGGAGGGGAGAAAAAAUUGUUUCUGAUAAUAGUAAAUGUACGUAAUUUCCUCUGUGGGGGUGGUAUGGAUGUUUUCUGGAAUAUGACCCAUUAGCAGUAAAUAAUAUUAAAACCUAACUGUACAAUCAAGUUACAUGUAAUACUUAACAGUAUUAUUAAAAAAUUAAAACUAGAGCUCAUGGGUUAUUCUUUGGCUGUUUGUAGUACAUACAUAUAAAUAACACAUUCCCACAAAAUUAUAGAGAAAAGUAAUUGUUAGUUCUGGCAUUCAGUUAAGUCUGGCAAGAGCUAGUGCACCACUUGACUCUUGCUAUUUGAACAUUCGAAAGAACUUGUAUUAAUUUCUUGUCCACAUGACUUACAUCAGAUUCAGUCCUAAAUGAGAAAUGUCCAUUAUACAUAUAAAAUAGUGACAGUACCAUAUGAAGACACUGAAGAUGUAUUGGGUCACAGAUCCCAGACUCCAAUUACAAGGAAAUUUACUGUAGAGCAGAGCCCAGACGGUUCAGUUAGACAUUGACAUGUUAACCCAUUGAGCACUGAGUGGCUCUCCAGUUCACAAGUAAAAUUGUCUGGUGUUAGACAGAGUAAAAUAAUAAAGUAGCUAGGGUGCAUUAGGGCACAAUGCAACCUAAUGGUUAAUUAAUA